rnacentral:rRNA from 1 species
GGUUAAGCGACUAAGCGUACACGGUGGAUGCCCUGGCAGUCAGAGGCGAUGAAGGACGUGCUAAUCUGCGAUAAGCGUCGGUAAGGUGAUAUGAACCGUUAUAACCGGCGAUUUCCGAAUGGGGAAACCCAGUGUGUUUCGACACACUAUCAUUAACUGAAUCCAUAGGUUAAUGAGGCGAACCGGGGGAACUGAAACAUCUAAGUACCCCGAGGAAAAGAAAUCAACCGAGAUUCCCCCAGUAGCGGCGAGCGAACGGGGAGCAGCCCAGAGCCUGAAUCAGUGUGUGUGUUAGUGGAAGCGUCUGGAAAGGCGCGCGAUACAGGGUGACAGCCCCGUACACAAAAAUGCACAUGCUGUGAGCUCGAUGAGUAGGGCGGGACACGUGGUAUCCUGUCUGAAUAUGGGGGGACCAUCCUCCAAGGCUAAAUACUCCUGACUGACCGAUAGUGAACCAGUACCGUGAGGGAAAGGCGAAAAGAACCCCGGCGAGGGGAGUGAAAAAGAACCUGAAACCGUGUACGUACAAGCAGUGGGAGCACGCUUAGGCGUGUGACUGCGUACCUUUUGUAUAAUGGGUCAGCGACUUAUAUUCUGUAGCAAGGUUAACCGAAUAGGGGAGCCGAAGGGAAACCGAGUCUUAACUGGGCGUUAAGUUGCAGGGUAUAGACCCGAAACCCGGUGAUCUAGCCAUGGGCAGGUUGAAGGUUGGGUAACACUAACUGGAGGACCGAACCGACUAAUGUUGAAAAAUUAGCGGAUGACUUGUGGCUGGGGGUGAAAGGCCAAUCAAACCGGGAGAUAGCUGGUUCUCCCCGAAAGCUAUUUAGGUAGCGCCUCGUGAAUUCAUCUCCGGGGGUAGAGCACUGUUUCGGCAAGGGGGUCAUCCCGACUUACCAACCCGAUGCAAACUGCGAAUACCGGAGAAUGUUAUCACGGGAGACACACGGCGGGUGCUAACGUCCGUCGUGAAGAGGGAAACAACCCAGACCGCCAGCUAAGGUCCCAAAGUCAUGGUUAAGUGGGAAACGAUGUGGGAAGGCCCAGACAGCCAGGAUGUUGGCUUAGAAGCAGCCAUCAUUUAAAGAAAGCGUAAUAGCUCACUGGUCGAGUCGGCCUGCGCGGAAGAUGUAACGGGGCUAAACCAUGCACCGAAGCUGCGGCAGCGACGCUUAUGCGUUGUUGGGUAGGGGAGCGUUCUGUAAGCCUGUGAAGGUGUGCUGUGAGGCAUGCUGGAGGUAUCAGAAGUGCGAAUGCUGACAUAAGUAACGAUAAAGCGGGUGAAAAGCCCGCUCGCCGGAAGACCAAGGGUUCCUGUCCAACGUUAAUCGGGGCAGGGUGAGUCGACCCCUAAGGCGAGGCCGAAAGGCGUAGUCGAUGGGAAACAGGUUAAUAUUCCUGUACUUGGUGUUACUGCGAAGGGGGGACGGAGAAGGCUAUGUUGGCCGGGCGACGGUUGUCCCGGUUUAAGCGUGUAGGCUGGUUUUCCAGGCAAAUCCGGAAAAUCAAGGCUGAGGCGUGAUGACGAGGCACUACGGUGCUGAAGCAACAAAUGCCCUGCUUCCAGGAAAAGCCUCUAAGCAUCAGGUAACAUCAAAUCGUACCCCAAACCGACACAGGUGGUCAGGUAGAGAAUACCAAGGCGCUUGAGAGAACUCGGGUGAAGGAACUAGGCAAAAUGGUGCCGUAACUUCGGGAGAAGGCACGCUGAUAUGUAGGUGAAGCGACUUGCUCGUGGAGCUGAAAUCAGUCGAAGAUACCAGCUGGCUGCAACUGUUUAUUAAAAACACAGCACUGUGCAAACACGAAAGUGGACGUAUACGGUGUGACGCCUGCCCGGUGCCGGAAGGUUAAUUGAUGGGGUCAGCGCAAGCGAAGCUCUUGAUCGAAGCCCCGGUAAACGGCGGCCGUAACUAUAACGGUCCUAAGGUAGCGAAAUUCCUUGUCGGGUAAGUUCCGACCUGCACGAAUGGCGUAAUGAUGGCCAGGCUGUCUCCACCCGAGACUCAGUGAAAUUGAACUCGCUGUGAAGAUGCAGUGUACCCGCGGCAAGACGGAAAGACCCCGUGAACCUUUACUAUAGCUUGACACUGAACAUUGAGCCUUGAUGUGUAGGAUAGGUGGGAGGCUUGGAAGUGUGGACGCCAGUCUGCAUGGAGCCGACCUUGAAAUACCACCCUUUAAUGUUUGAUGUUCUAACGUUGACCCGUAAUCCGGGUUGCGGACAGUGUCUGGUGGGUAGUUUGACUGGGGCGGUCUCCUCCUAAAGAGUAACGGAGGAGCACGAAGGUUGGCUAAUCCUGGUCGGACAUCAGGAGGUUAGUGCAAUGGCAUAAGCCAGCUUGACUGCGAGCGUGACGGCGCGAGCAGGUGCGAAAGCAGGUCAUAGUGAUCCGGUGGUUCUGAAUGGAAGGGCCAUCGCUCAACGGAUAAAAGGUACUCCGGGGAUAACAGGCUGAUACCGCCCAAGAGUUCAUAUCGACGGCGGUGUUUGGCACCUCGAUGUCGGCUCAUCACAUCCUGGGGCUGAAGUAGGUCCCAAGGGUAUGGCUGUUCGCCAUUUAAAGUGGUACGCGAGCUGGGUUUAGAACGUCGUGAGACAGUUCGGUCCCUAUCUGCCGUGGGCGCUGGAGAACUGAGGGGGGCUGCUCCUAGUACGAGAGGACCGGAGUGGACGCAUCACUGGUGUUCGGGUUGUCAUGCCAAUGGCACUGCCCGGUAGCUAAAUGCGGAAGAGAUAAGUGCUGAAAGCAUCUAAGCACGAAACUUGCCCCGAGAUGAGUUCUCCCUGACCCUUUAAGGGUCCUGAAGGAACGUUGAAGACGACGACGUUGAUAGGCCGGGUGUGUAAGCGCAGCGAUGCGUUGAGCUAACCGGUACUAAUGAACCGUGAGGCUUAACCUU